UGCCAGCAGCCGCGGUAACACGGGGGGCGCGAGCGUUAUUCGGAAUCACUGGGCUUAAAGCGUGCGUAGGCGGCUUGGCAAGUUGGGUGUGAAAUCCCUCGGCUCAACCGAGGAAUUGCGCUCAAAACUGCCAGGCUUGAGGGAGAUAGAGGUGAGCGGAACUGAUGGUGGAGCGGUGAAAUGCGUUGAUAUCAUCAGGAACACCGGUGGCGAAAGCGGCUCACUGGGUCUCUUCUGACGCUGAGGCACGAAAGCUAGGGGAGCGAACGGGAUUAGAUA
rnacentral:rRNA from 1 species